rnacentral:rRNA from 1 species
GACGAACGCUGGCGGCGUGCUUAACACAUGCAAGUCGAGCGGAAAGGCCACUUCGGUGGUACUCGAGCGGCGAACGGGUGAGUAACACGUGAGUGAUCUGCCCCUGGCUUCGGGAUAGCCACCGGAAACGGCGAUUAAUACCGGAUAUGACCACGUCUCGCAUGGGGUGUGGUGGACAGAUUUUCGGCCAGGGAUGUGCUCCCGGCCUAUCAGCUUGAUGGUGAGGUAAUGGCUCACCAUGGCUUCGACGGGUAGCCGGCACUGAGAGGGUGACCGGUAAAACUGGGACUGAGACACGGCCCAGACUCCUACGGGAGGCAGCAGUGGGGAAUAUUGGACAAUGGGCGGAAGCCUGAUCCAGCAACGCCGCGUGAGGGAUGACGGCCUUCGGGUUGUAAACCUCUUUCAGUACCGACGAAGCGCAAGUGACGGUAGGUACAGAAGAAGCACCGGCCAACUACGUGCCAGCCGCCGCGGUAAGAC